GAUGCGCCAUGCCGCGUGUGUGAAGAAGGCCUUCGGGUUGUAAAGCACUUUCAGUCGUGAGGAAGGUAGUGUAGUUAAUAGCUGCAUUAUUUGACGUUAGCGACAGAAGAAGCACCGGCUAACUCCGUGCCAGCAGCCGCGGUAAUACGGAGGGUGCGAGCGUUAAUCGGAAUUACUGGGCGUAAAGCGCAUGCAGGUGGUUUGUUAAGUCAGAUGUGAAAGCCCGGGGCUCAACCUCGGAAUAGCAUUUGAAACUGGCAGACUAGAGUACUGUAGAGGGGGGUAGAAUUUCAGGUGUAGCGGUGAAAUGCGUAGAGAUCUGAAGGAAUACCGGUGGCGAAGGCGGCCCCCUGGACAGAUACUGACACUCAGAUGCGAAAGCGUGGGGAGCAAACAGGAUUAGAUACCCUGGUAGUCCACGCCGUAAACGAUGUCUACUUGGAGGUUGUGGCCUUGAGCCGUGGCUUUCGGAGCUAACGCGUUAAGUAGACCGCCUGGGGAGUACGGUCGCAAGAUUAAAACUCAAAUGAAUUGACGGGGGCCCGCACAAGCGGUGGAGCAUGUGGUUUAAUUCGAUGCAACGCGAAGAACCUUACCUACUCUUGACAUCCAGAGAACUUUCCAGAGAUGGAUUGGUGCCUUCGGGAACUCUGAGACAGGUGCUGCAUGGCUGUCGUCAGCUCGUGUUGUGAAAUGUUGGGUUAAGUCCCGCAACGAGCGCAACCCUUAUCCUUGUUUGCCAGCGAGUAAUGUCGGGAACUCCAGGAAGACUGCCGGUGAUAAACCGAAGGAAGGUGGGAACAACGUCAAGUCAUCAUGGCCCUUACAAGUAGGGCUACACACGUGCUACAAUGGCGCAUACAGAGGGCGGCCAACUUGCAAGAGUGAGCGAAUCCCAAAAAGUGCGUCGAAGUCCGGAUUGAAGUCUGCAACUCGACUCCAUGAAGUCGGAAUCGCUAGUAAUCGUGGAUCAAAAUGCCACGGUGAAUACGUUCCCGGGCCUUGGACACCCGCCCGUCAAACCAUGGGAAGUGGCUUGCCAAAGAAGUAAGUAGUUUAACCUUCCGGGGGGACGCUUACCACUGGGGUUCAUGACUGGGGGGAUCGU
rnacentral:rRNA from 1 species